rnacentral:snRNA from 1 species
CGAUGUGAGGGCGAUCUGGCUGCGACAUCUGUCACCCCAUUGAUCACCAGGGUUGAUUCAGCUGAUCUGGCUGGCUAGGCGGGUGUCCCCUUCCUCCCUCACCGCUCCAUGUGCGUCCCUCCCGAAGCUGCGCGCUCGGUGGAAGAGGACGACGUCCCAGGUAUAGAAGGAGUGUACCGAGGUCUCCAGUCUUCGGUCCCGGGUAUACAAUAGCUGCGCUCCCCUGCUAGAACCUCCAUCAUACAGUAGUCCAAAGUGCCUUAUGAUUAGAGACAGUGAGCAUUACAGGUCAUGGUAAACUGUUGAAC